rnacentral:rRNA from 1 species
GACGAACGCUGGCGGCGUGCCUAACACAUGCAAGUCGAACGAUGAAGCUGGAGCUUGCUCUGGCGGAUUAGUGGCGAACGGGUGAGUAACACGUGAGAAAUCUGCCCUUGACUCUGGGAUAACUGCGGGAAACUGUAGCUAAUACCGGAUACUUUCCCUGGUGGGCAUCCACUGGGGAAGAAAGAAUUUCGGUCAAGGAUGAUCUCGCGGCCUAUCAGCUUGUUGGUGAGGUAAUGGCUCACCAAGGCGACGACGGGUAGCCGGCCUGAGAGGGUGACCGGCCACACUGGGACUGAGACACGGCCCAGACUCCUACGGGAGGCAGCAGUGGGGAAUAUUGCACAAUGGGCGCAAGCCUGAUGCAGCAACGCCGCGUGAGGGAUGAAGGCCUUCGGGUUGUAGACCUCUUUUAGCAGGGAAGAAGCGAAAGUGACGGUACCUGCAGAAAAAGCACCGGCUAACUACGUGCCAGCCGCCGCAGUAA